GGUUUUUUAAUUGCAAUUUGCAGUUUUCCCAAAUUUAUUGUUUAAAAAAAUACACUUCAAUUGCACACAGUCAGUUGAUCAGCUUAUCUCAGGUUUUUACUGGUUUGAAGCUUCAGUUGUACAAAUUUCACAAACAUUGAACUGUAUUUGUAAAAAUUAUUAACGUUUAACUAUUUUCAUCCAUGGAAUUUGCCAAUGUGUUUUCUCAAAUAUAUUGUUAAAAAAUAAUCACUUUACUUACACUCAGUAAUAUAUAAACUGUUAGUUAUAUCUCAUAUUAUUACAGUUGUUGAACUUUAUUUGUAUACACAUUUCACUGAAAAUUUAAUUGUUGUGAUCAAGUUAACAUUAAAAAUAAUUAAAAAUGUAUGAAUGUACCAGUCUGGGCAGAAACAAGUGCGACCACUUGUGACAGGUCAUUCACCACAACACUUAUUUCUGCCAUAACUAUUUGGACGCUUGACAGUACAACAUAGGUUUAUAUUUUUCUCAAACCUUGCUCUGGUUGCCUGUAAGGCUUCUGUCUUUCAAAAAAUAAUGUUAGUCAUUUCAAAAAUCCAUUCUUCUGUCUUCUUUUUCAGGUGACCCUUUCCACACAGUAAUGGCUUCUUGGUGAGCUGAGUGUACCUGUUCAGUCAUGGCUAUUCCUACAGGAAAUGCAGGCAGCUACAAAAUAAAGUCAGCAGCAAGAUUAUGGCUGUUUCCAUGAGUACAAUACAUGUGGCAAGAUUAAGGACAUUGUCAAAUGGUGUGCCAACAGCCUGAUUCCAGAAAUGCAUUGUAGAGAGGAAACUGUGUCUGGUAUUGGUAGGAAUGUGAAGGCUGAAAUGGGUAUAUAUAGUUUUCCAGAUGAGAGUUAUGGGUGACCCCUUCCACACAGUAAUGGCUUCUUGGUGAGCUGAGUGUACCUGUUCAGUCAUGGCUAUUCCUACAGGAAAAUCAGGCAGCUGUAAAGACAGCAGCAAGAUCAUGGCUGUUUCCAUGAGUACAAUACAUGAUAUGUGGCAAAAUUAAGGACAUUGUCAAAUGGUGUGCCAACAGCCUGAUUCCAGAAAUGCAUUGUAGAGAGGAAACUGUGUCUGGUAUUGGUAGGAAUGUGAAGGCUGAAAUGGGUAUAUAUAGUUUUCCAGCUGAGAGUUAUGGGUGACCCUUUCCACACAGUAAUGGCUUCUUGGUGAGCUGAGUGUACCUGUUCAGUCAUGGCUAUUCCUACAGGAAAAGCAGGCAGCUGUAAAGACAGCAGCAAGAUCAUGGCUGUUUCCAUGAG